UACAUAUAUAUAUAUAUAUAUAUAUCAUCUUUGAUAGAUUCUAAUGUAAGUGGUAAAAAAUGUGAUUAGAUUCAAUGCAUUAUUACAAGUAAAACAUGUGAAAUAUUGAUUGACAUAAUAAAACAAAAGCAUCUGGAUUCAACUGUAAUGAAAUUUUACUUGCUGGAAUUAUUUUGUUACAGAGAUCUUUGUUUUCUAUGCUUUGCUCUAUUCUUGAUUAACAGUAGAUUAGCAUCCAUCUUGUAUGACUCAGCCAUAGCAUUGAUUAACCAAAUAUUAGUUGCCCAUUACUUGAUGGCUGCACAUUAACCAAAUAUCACUUAGAAUCACUUCUCUUAAUUUAUUUCAUUUCAAGCUGAAAAUUAUUUUGAGGAUUUUCAAAAACACUGUCCAUUAUUUUAUUAGUUCCAAAAUUAGGCUGAAUUUCAUAUUAAUCUGGAACCAAUUUCUUUAAUAUAAAACACUUUAGGGUCUAUCAGUUUAUGAAGGGAGAUUACUACUUCAAAUUUAGUUCACUCUUGUGUGUGCAGUUACAUUAAUAGUAAUGUCCCUUGUAAUGUAACACCCUAACACUAAUGUAACUAGAUGUAGCUAAACACUUAAACACUUGGAUCACUUUGGUCUGAAAGUGUUGUCACAUCCCUUUCAUCAAAGGUUUUUUUUUAAAGGACUUUCUGAUAGAAAAACAAAAAUAAAUUCAGAAAUAACUUUUUUAACUCAUUGAAGCCUAGAAAUUGACUGCAGCGAAGAUUGGCUUUAUUUAUUUUGUUGAUUUUCUCAUCAUUGUUUGUUUGUUAUUGUUUUCCUCUGCUUGUGAAUACAAUGAUAAAUAUAUAUAUAUAAAUACUUUUAUCUAUACCUACUUUUCAAACAAUGAACACUGCCCCCCCCCCCCCUACUCCCACUAAAAGAAUGACAGUGAAUUAAACCCAGAAAAUUAACUCAGUUUUUAACAAGUUCUUCUCCUGAAAAUGAUUGUGAUAAUAAAACUAUUAUGAUAAAAAUCUACAAAU